rnacentral:siRNA from 1 species
UUCAAUAUCUUCAUGGUCUUGC